rnacentral:rRNA from 1 species
GACAUACCUCUGGUGUACCAGUUGUUCUGCCAAGAGCACCGCUGGGUAGCUACGUAUGGAUUAGAUAAUCGCUGAAAGCAUCUAAGUGAGAAACUAACCUCGAGAUGAGAUUUCCCAUUCGUCAUAAGUAAGACCCCUGAGAUACGAUCAGGUAGAUAGGCUAGAAGUGGAAGUGUAGUGAUGCAUGGAGCGGACUAGUACUAAUAGGUCGAGGACUUAACCAAG